rnacentral:rRNA from 1 species
AUGCACGCUGGCGGCGUGCCUCAUACCUGCAAGUCGCGCGAACAGACGAGGAGCUUGCUCCUCUGACGUUAGCGGCGGCCGGGUGAGUAACACGUGGAUAACCUACCUAUAAGACUGGGAUAACUUCGGGAAACCGGAGCUAAUACCGGAUAAUAUAUUGAACCGCAUGGUUCAAUAGUGAAAGACGGUUUUGCUGUCACUUAUAGAUGGAUCCGCGCCGCAUUAGCUAGUUGGUAAGGUAACGGCUUACCAAGGCAACGAUGCGUAGCCGACCUGAGAGGGUGAUCGGCCACACUGGAACUGAGACACGGUCCAGACUCCUACGGGAGGCAGCAGUAGGGAAUCUUCCGCAAUGGGCGAAAGCCUGACGGAGCAACGCCGCGUGAGUGAUGAAGGUCUUCGGAUCGUAAAACUCUGUUAUUAGGGAAGAACAAAUGUGUAAGUAACUAUGCACGUCUUGACGGUACCUAAUCAGAAAGCCACGGCUAACUACGUG